CCCCCCCAAAAAAAAAAGAGAAAAAGAAAAGAAACAGAGAAAAAAGGAAGGGAGAUGGGUAGGAAGGAGGAGAGAGGAAAACAAUGUUUAGGGAGAAAAACUAGAUCUUUACUCUCUACCCUCUAAUAGGAAGACUUCUGGCAUGUAAACCUCGCUUUGCUAAAAAGUUUAAUUUUCUGUAUCAUACAGACAGAAAUGCUUACAUUCUAGUGACUUCCAGUAAUAACCAGUGUGUCUGGGGCUGAUUAUUCUCUGCAGUACCUCAGGGUGUAGCUGAAACUUGGCUUCUGUCCACCGGGCCCAGUUAAGUCUCAGAAAUAAGACUUGGGUGAAGCAGAAAGAACAGCUUUAUUGCUCUGCCAGGCAAAGGAGGCCACAGCAGGCUAAGCAUUCAAAACUGUGUCCUCCCUUGAUCUGGGAUAGCAAGGGGUUUAUAGGUUUAGCUUGAACAAACAGGGCUGUUGAUAAGGAUUAGGAGGCUUGCAUUCUUCUCCCUCCAUAGAUCACUUCCAAGUCGUCAAGGCCAGAGUCAGGGGGUCGGUGGCCGUUUCUGGUGGUCUUGGGGUGAUCGCCCCUUGACCUCAUCUCUGCAGUGAUGAUUGCUCACAAAAGGAAGGGGGGGGGGAUUCGGGCAUGUUUCAAAGGAAAAGAAAAUCUAACACUAACUAGAAAGUAAUCAUUAGUAAAAGAAAGCAAUCAAGCAAGGAAGAAAUCAUUUGUGAAAAGCCAGUUAGAGUAAGUCCGUAGGCCAAGGCAGGGCAUAACAUCAUGGAGACUGUUUUAACUAGCUUUUCGCUCUCACGGCAACGCCAGAUCCUUAACCCAUUGAGCAAGGCCAGGGAUCGAACCUGUGUCCUCAUGGAUACUAGUCAGAUUCGUUUCUGCUGAGCCACGAUGGGAGCUCCUUGCCUUGCUAUUCUGAUGAACCUUGGUGAACCCCCGAAAGGAAAGAGAAAUGGAGGGAGAGAGGGGGAGGGAUUGUCGUUGAGCCACAUGUGUCCGCUACCCACAUGCUUGUGUGUGUGGUUCUAGAAUGCUGAUCUCAGUCAAGGUUGUCUUUGCACUUAUUGAGGUCCUCACCAUGCUGUGUCUUUCACCAUUUGGGGGUUUCUUUCAAUGUCUAAUACUUUCUUCUCAUUCAGUGUUUCCUCCUGGGUUUCUUGCCUGGUGACCUACACUCCCUGCGAGGCAGCAGCGGCCCUUUUGCCUUGCUUUUGUGCCUUGAGCAGAGAGUUGCUCUAAGCAGCUGGUUCCCCGUCCUCUUUUCUGGCCCCACUGAGCAGAGUGAUGGGACCAAGAAUGGGAGGGAGUGAGGUGGUGCCCAGAGGCUGUGAGUCCAGAGACCUCGGACUCUAACCCAGCCUAAACCCAGAUUGGGACCUGAGCCCAUGGUGUUUUUGUUUAUUUAUUUAUUUUUAUUUUUCAUUUUUUAAUAUUACUCAAUGAAUUUAUUACAUUUAUAGCUGUACAAUGAUUAUCAUGACCCAAGUUUAUAGCAUUUCCAUCCCAAACCUCCACCAUGGUGUUUUUCAUUAGAAUUACUCACCUGGUGUCUGGACUUACUGAGGUUCAGGUUCUUUGUGUCUUACCGCAGAAGGAAUUCAGUGAGAGACAAAGUGAUAGGGAAGAAAUAGAUUUGUUAAGAUAGGAUGCUUGGGGAGUUCGCGCUGUGGCUCAGUGGUAACAAACCUGACUAGUAUCCAUGAGGAUGCCAGUUUGAUCCCUGGACUCACUCAGUGGUGUAGGUUGCAGAUGAAGAUCAGAUCUCGAGUUGCUGUGGCUGUGGUGUAGGCCAGCAGCUGCGGCUCCAAUUUGAUCCCUAGCCUGGGAACGUCCCUAUGCCACGGGUACAGUCUUUAAAAAAAAAAAAAAAGAUAAUGAUUGACCUAUGGUGUUUAAAGAAUUGGGUUCUUGGAGUUUCCUGGUGGUUUGGGCAGGUUAGGGAUCUGUCAUUGUCACUGCUGUGGCUCAGGACGAUCCCCGGCUUGGGAACUGGCAUAUGCUGUGAGUGUGGCCAAAAAAAAAAAAGCAAUUGGGUUCUCUCAGAAUAUUAAUAUGCUUGUUAGUUUUCUAGGGCUGUCAAACCGCAUGACAUAGGGAAACAGAAAUGUGUUCUCCCAUAGUUCUGAGACAUCUGAAAUCAAGUGUUGGCAGGCCCAUCCGUCUUCCCCCUGAAGGUUCCAGGGGAGAAUCCUUCCUUUGCCUCUUCCAGUUCCGGAGCUCCUGGUAGACCUUGGUGUUCCCUGGCUUGUACCUGCCUCCCUCUGCCUUUGCCUCCAUCGCUGUCUGGCCGGUGUGUCUGUGUGACCUCUCCUCUCCUGAUGGGGACAUCAGCCACUGGGGCCACCCUACCCCAUCAUGACUUCAUCCUAAUAUAAUUACACCUGCAAAGACCUUAUUUCCAAAUAUAGUCUUGUUCUGAGAUUAUGGGUGGACAGUUUGAGGAGACAUUAUUCAACUCAUUGCAUUUUUUAUCAAAAGUUCGGAAAAUUGAGUAGUAAAAGUAUAGCACAGCUCCCCCCCAACCUCCUGCCCCUAGUUGGGUUCUUCCUCUAAGCAAUUUAGCUGUACUUGGUGGAAAGAAAGGUGAGACCUUGCAAAUUUCAUUUCACAUUGCACACGGAACCUAUUGAUACAGAGGGCUGACUGUACCUAUGUUUUUCUAAAGUCUUUCAUAUGGUUCCAGGUGGUGCCAUGGACUGAAUGUUCAUGUCCCCUAAAAUUCCUAUGUUGGAAACAAAUCCCCUUUGUGAUGGUAUUUAGAGGUGUGGCCUUUGGGAAGUAAGUCAUAAGGGUGGGAACCCUCACCAGUGGGAUUAGUGCCCUUACAGUCACGGUCACAAGACCCUGUGGCUCUCUCCCCAUCAGAGAACCUUCUGAGGGUGGGGAAAGAGGGCCCUCCCUUUCACUGGGGAGAUGGAUAAACCAAAGGGUGACCUUGUUUUCAAGCUCUGGAGCAUAGUUAGUGGUGAGUUUGUCUUCCACAGGCUGAAUCAAGGUCAAGGGAAGUGGAAAGGGCUGUGGAGAGGCUCCGGUUGGGGGGGGUGUUGGUCAGGGGCAGCCCCCAGGCAGGGGCCUGAGCAGUGACUACCAGCAGAUCUCUGGAUGGGCUGACAGGGCUGGGGGACAGCAGACAGCCAAGCUUCCUUGACUCCUUUUUAGACCACUGUAAACUCCCAAAGGCUACUUCCCUCCUUCUUUGCUGAGUUUCAGGAACUCAUUUGGGUUGGUUGGGGGGCAGUUGCCAUGGUGAUGCUAUCUCUAGACCCCAGCAUGAAACCACAUCCCUAAAGAAUUUCAUCCCAUGAGAGCAAAACACAGAUUCACUGGAAAGGGUGGUCCAAAAGGUAGUGGCGUUUAGCAAUGGAGCAGCUACUUUGUUUUAAUGAGCUUGAGUUCACCUCAUCUGUGAGAUGCGAAAGGUAAUGCCUGCCUGGCAGGAUCACUUGAGAUGUCAGAUGACACAAUAAAGAGAUGAAUUCAGGAGUUCCUGUUGUGGCACAGCGGAAACGAAUCCUCCUAGUAUCCAUGAGGAUGUGGGUUCAAUCCCUGACCUUGCUCAGUGAGUCGGGGAUCUGGUGUAGCCAUGAGCUGUGGUGUAGGUUGCAGACACAGCUCAGAUCCUCUGUUUCUGUGGCUAUGGUGUAGACCAGCAGGUGCAGUUCUGAUUCGAUCCUUAGACUGGGAACUUCCAUAUGCUGUGGAUGCGGUC
rnacentral:lncRNA from 1 species